rnacentral:ncRNA from 1 species
AUAAAAGCAAUGCGUAGGGAGAGUAGCUAUUUUCGAAACAUUUCAGAGAGCCGGUGGUGGUGGGAGUCCGGUAUGAUUAGAGAUAGUGAAUGGGCCUACAAGCUGUAGACUGAAAUUACUUUUAGUAAGAGUAGGAAACUACCGGAGCACUUCACCGUUAAAAGAAGUCGGGUAUCGGAUUGAAUUAAAAUAAUCUCGUACUUUGUCUUAUAGGCUUUUUGCUUAUAAAGGUGGUAUAGCGAAAUUAACCUUUCGUCCUUUAUGGAUGGAAGGUUUUUAUUUUAUUCAUUUCCCGUACUUAAAGAGAGGGGCUUUUGCCCAAUUAAGGUGGUACCGCGAAAACUUUUCGUCCUUUUG